AACUUGAAUUUUUUUUUCAAAUUUCGAGUUCGAAUUGAGUUUAGUUUUCGAAUUCGAAUAACGUGAAUAAUUCGAAUAUCAAACUAUAAUAUUUUACAUUUUUACCCCAAACUCCCAAACCUUUUUACUUUUCCCUCAAAACUUUUACUCCUUCCCACUUUCCCCCCAAAACUUUUACUCCCCUCCCCUCCUAACCCCCCAAUCUACCCAAAAUUCAUUUCCCACCAAAAUUUUACUCUCCCAUUUACUUUUUCUCAAAAUUUUACUCCCCAAAACCCUCAAAACCUUUUAUUUUUCCCCAAAAUUUUUACUCCCUCCCACUUUUUUCCCUAAAACUUUUAUUCCCUUCCCUUUCCACCUCUCAUCUACCCCAAACCCUCCCCCCUCUAAUUUUUUUUAAAUAUUUUCCCUCCAAAAUUUUACUCCCCCUAUUU
rnacentral:lncRNA from 1 species